rnacentral:lncRNA from 1 species
UUAUGAGCUGAUCCAUCAGAUAUAAGCAGGAGCUCUGACCUUAAUAUUGCAAGAUGGUUAAGUAAUCAUAAUAAGCAGGUGGUGGCUAACUAAUAGAGAAAUAGACUUGAUAAUUCAUUAUCUAUGUAUGGAGCAGGCGAUAGGGUGUUUAUAAAAUUCAAAGCUUAAGCACUCAGUUAUGCUUUUGAUUAAAAAGAAAACCCCAGCUCUUGGGCUAAAUCCAUUUUAUCACAAAUUUUCCUACACUAUAAUUUAGCAACUCUGAAGAUUUAAGGAGUUGGGUUUACACUCGGUUAAGAGCUGGAUUGUGACUGAUUAGAGAUGGAAGAGUAGCUGUGAAGAGCUGAAAAGAAGAAGAAGAAGAAAACUUAGCAGAUUGAACUAAGCAAUAGAAAGGUAAUGCAUCUUUGCUUAGUAUUUACUUUAAAAUGUUAAAUAUGAACUAAAUAGUGGUUAUGGGAUUUGCUAUGGGUUUGAUUAAGAAUAUGUGCUACCGAUGAUGUGUAAAUACUUGAGGAUAGUAUGCUUAGCAGUGGGGUUUUUCUAUUUGGUAUAGUUAUGUGUUUAUCAAUGGAAUUGAAUUAAAAAGGAAGUAAACUAGUUAGUUUACUAAUUACUUUAUUUUGUUUAAAUUUGAUUAUGUGUUUGACUGUUAUGCGGCUGGAAUUUUGAAUAGAGGAGAUAGGUUGACUGUGAGGAGCAAUAAGGUGUGAAAUAUGAGGCUAGAAUGCAAAUCAAUGGCCAUGAAAAGAGAAUUUUAAAACUAUGCACUCUAAGUGCUUGAUAAAAGUCCUUAAUGGACUGUUUUUGUCUAAAACCAAAAAUUUGUUAGAAGUAAAGCUUGGGCUUGAAUUAUACAACAUAUAUGAUGUUAAUUAGGGAAUUUGAAGGUACUAAAUUAGAGCGAAAAGCAGUUUAAGCCAAAACGAAAGUAAGAAAAACUUAGUGCGAUAAGCCAUGUAUGAACACUGUUUUGAGCUGCGUAUCAAAUCUGAAAUGGAAAGGUUAUGACCUCUAAAAUGCAUUCUCAUACGGUAUGUAUAACAUACUUAAGGUUUGUUUUAAUUUGGUAGAUGAGUUAAAAGUUCUAAGGCCACAAAUAAGGCAUGUUGGAGCAGGGCUGCUGCCUAUGGCAGCAGCAGUGGUGAUGCUUGGCAAGGGUUGGGACCUCCCUUGGUUGCUUAAUCAAAACACUUGAAAUAUUAAGGGUGGAUAUAUCACCUAUUUAGUAGCUAAAAUUCAACAUGAAUAAAUCAAAGCCACGAGAAAUGAAAAGCUAACAUAUUAAAAAAAAUUGAACUGGUGCCCAUUAACAGCAGCAGUCAGCCACAAGGAGCAUCAUUUUCAAGCAAGGUGAGGGUGCAGCUGCUGCCUAAUGGCAGCAGCAGUUAGCAAGAAGUGGGAGCUGCUGUGUGCAACAGAUGCUAGCCAUGUCUGUUUAUUGGCAUAGUUUAAAAGCUUACCCUUAAGCCCAAUCUUUGACUUCUAAGUGACCAAGUGCAUAAUUUAUAUAACAAAUCAUUGGUUGAGCUAGAUGAUUAAAAUAAAAAGUGGAAUUGACAAGGGGCUGCUGCCUUUGGGCAGCAGCAAUUGGCAAGAAAAUGACUGCUAAAGCAGUUUUGGGAAGCUAUUAUGGUUAGACAAUAAUAAAACUAAUCAUCAAGAAUGAUUAUAAUUCAUUUUGUAAUAAAGUAAUUAGAAUCCAUAACAAAUCUACUAUCUAACAUGUUUGGAAUAAUCAAUUGGAAGUUAUAAAAACUAAACAAAGCUAUAAUAGAGUGUUGUUUUGAAUAAAUCAAAUCAAUAGCGUAAAUUGCAACUCAAGGUAAGCGAACUAGUAAUUUGUAUGCUGAAGUUAAUGAAAUGAUGGUCUAGAGCCAAGGGGGGCUGUUAGGCUAUAUAUGGGGCCGCGGGGCUAUGUAUGGCCAUUCCAAGCUUGGCUAAGCCCCACAUGGCUAAACAAAACUUGAUUGUCUCACAAUGGGUUAAUUUGAGACUGUUUUGUUAUAAAGGAUAAAACAAGAGUAUUUAACACUUUUGUAUACCAGAACAAAGUUACAAAGCGUUAUGAGAGCUACAAAUUUCUCAACCAAGUUGUGAAUACACCCAAAACAUGUAAUUCACUAAAAAAUGAAUUGUAAUCUAUGAGAUAGCGGUUUACAUAAUUAAACCUUUAAUUUGGAAUUACUAAACCAAGUUUAAGCUGUUAGUAUCACAAAGAGUUACUAAUACUACGAAAGAGCUAGGCAUAACUUAGAAAAGAAAUAUGAACUAAAAUCAUAUAAGGGUCAUGAACUGGAAUUAUGUGUCAAACCCUACAAAAGAAAGAUAUAGCUAUUGUAAGAACAUGGAUGAGGUAUUUGAAAAAUGUAUAGAAAUAUUUCAAAUAUAGAAACAUAAAACUAAAAACAUGAUCAAUGUGAUUAUGUGAUAUGUGAACAUACAAGGUAUAUGACUUGGCUAUUUGGCUAAUAUGCUUGUACAUACAAAUAAUUGUGUAUGAUCUAUGAGAAUACACGAGUUAAGAUGAAAUUGUACCAAUAGUCUAUUAACAAGGCAAGUAUCUAAAUCUUAUUCUUUAUUGAGUAAGUAUUCUGAAAUUGUUCAUAUAUGGACAAGUUCUCUAAAUUCUGAACUGUCUUUCAAUAUUUAUGAAUAGUACAAGGUUAAAUAACCUUUUUAUUCCAAUCAGCUUCAAAAGAUUGGGUGAUGUAUUUUUAUGUAGAUCAAAUGAAAUUCAAUAUACAUGAGCAGAUCGCAAAGAAGUCUGAGCCAUUCCUUCUGGCCAGACACAGAUGUAAAAUAUUUCAAUUUCUUUAUAAUAAGUCUUGAAAUAUUAUUGUGCCAUGAUUUAAGCUAUCCAACUAUAUUGUUGUAGUUUGGAUUCUAAACUGAGAAUGAACAUACCUUAUUGCACUCUGGGAGUGGUGACGUUGAACAUGAAAAUUGUUCUGGAUAAGAUAGUAUUUAUCAAUACAGGGCAUAAAGGGCUGAUCACCCUCCGUGCUCGUAAGAUAAGACGGUUCACAGAUUAAAUUUCUAAUUGAACCUUUUCAAGAAAAGAAAAAUAUGUUCAUGGUUUUAUGACCUCUCAGUUAUUCAAUAUUAUUAUGAUAUUCCAGAAAUGUGAAUGAUUCAAGAUUUAUUGCUUUACAAAUUUGAUUCACUAUCAAAGCAUGCUUCAAAGAAAACAUUUAUUGCUUAUUGAGCCUUAAAAAAAUGCUAUUACUUGCUGAGCAAUUGAAUGCUCAUACUUGUUUUAUUAUAAAUGUUUUCAGCUGAGCAGACUCAAGUGGAAGGGUAGUAGGGACAAGGGGAAAGGAAAAGUAACAGAAUAGCUGGGAUUUGUUAUAAUAGAUAAUUUACAUGUCUGUAAAUAUUAAACUAUCAUGUAACGAACACUUAAAGGUCUAUGUGCCUGGGAUUAUAAGAACUUUGAUGUAAUAUCUUUAUUAAGUUAAGUUUAU